UAACUUAGUGGCGAACGGGUGAGUAACGCGUGAGUAACCUGCCCUGGAGUGGGGGACAACAGUUGGAAACGACUGCUAAUACCGCAUAAGCCCACGAUCCGGCAUCGGAUUGAGGGAAAAGGAUUUAUUCGCUUCAGGAUGGACUCGCGUCCAAUUAGCUAGUUGGUGAGGUAACGGCCCACCAAGGCGACGAUUGGUAGCCGGACUGAGAGGUUGAACGGCCACAUUGGGACUGAGACACGGCCCAGACUCCUACGGGAGGCAGCAGUGGGGGAUAUUGCACAAUGGGGGAAACCCUGAUGCAGCGACGCCGCGUGGAGGAAGAAGGUUUUCGGAUUGUAAACUCCUGUCGUUAGGGACGAUAAUGACGGUACCUAACAAGAAAGCACCGGCUAACUACGUGCCAGCAGCCGCGGUAAAACGUAGGGUGCAAGCGUUGUCCGGAAUUACUGGGUGUAAAGGGAGCGCAGGCGGACCGGCAAGUUGGAAGUGAAAUCCAUGGGCUCAACCCGUGAAUUGCUUUCAAAACUGCUGGCCUUGAGUAGUGCAGAGGUAGGUGGAAUUCCCGGUGUAGCGGUGGAAUGCGUAGAUAUCGGGAGGAACACCAGUGGCGAAGGCGACCUACUGGGCACCAACUGACGCUGAGGCUCGAAAGCAUGGGUAGCAAACAGGAUUAGAUACCCUGGUAGUCCAUGCCGUAAACGAUGAUUACUAGGUGUUGGAGGAUUGACCCCUUCAGUGCCGUAGUUAACACAAUAAGUAAUCCACCUGGGGAGUACGACCGCAAGGUUGAAACUCAAAGGAAUUGACGGGGGCCCGCACAAGCAGUGGAGUAUGUGGUUUAAUUCGAAGCAACGCGAAGAACCUUACCAGGUCUUGACAUCCGAUGCAUAGUGCAGAGAUGCAUGAAGUCCUUCGGGACAUCGAGACAGGUGGUGCAUGGUUGUCGUCAGCUCGUGUCGUGAGAUGUUGGGUUAAGUCCCGCAACGAGCGCAACCCUUAUUGCCAGUUACUACGCAAGAGGACUCUGGCGAGACUGCCGUUGACAAAACGGAGGAAGGUGGGGAUGACGUCAAAUCAUCAUGCCCUUUAUGACCUGGGCUACACACGUACUACAAUGGCGUUUAACAAAGAGAAGCAAGACCGCGAGGUGGAGCAAAACUCAAAAACAACGUCUCAGUUCAGAUUGCAGGCUGCAACUCGCCUGCAUGAAGUCGGAAUUGCUAGUAAUCGCGGAUCAGCAUGCCGCGGUGAAUACGUUCCCGGGCCUUGCACACACCGCCCGUCA
rnacentral:rRNA from 1 species